UACAGAGGGUGCGAGCGUUAAUCGGAAUUACUGGGCGUAAAGCGUGCGUAGACGGCUAUCUAAGUCGGGUGUGAAAGCCCCGGGCUCAACCUGGGAAUUGCAUUCGAGACUGAAUAGCUAGGGUACGGUAGAGGGAAGCGGAAUUUCCGGUGUAGCGGUGAAAUGCGUAGAUAUUGGGAAGAACACCGGUGGCGAAGGCGGCGCUCUGGACCGAGACUGACGCUGAGGCGCGAAAGCGUGGGGAGCAAACCGG
rnacentral:rRNA from 1 species